GCUUACCAAGGCAAUGAUGCAUAGCCGAGUUGAGAGACUGAUCGGCCACAUUGGGACUGAGACACGGCCCAAACUCCUACGGGAGGCAGCAGUAGGGAAUCUUCCACAAUGGACGAAAGUCUGAUGGAGCAACGCCGCGUGAGUGAAGAAGGGUUUCGGCUCGUAAAGCUCUGUUGGUAGUGAAGAAAGAUAGAGGUAGUAACUGGCCUUUAUUUGACGGUAAUUACUUAGAAAGUCACGGCUAACUACGUGCCAGCAGCCGCGGUAAUACGUAGGUGGCAAGCGUUGUCCGGAUUUAUUGGGCGUAAAGCGAGUGCAGGCGGUUCAAUAAGUCUGAUGUGAAAGCCUUCGGCUCAACCGGAGAAUUGCAUCAGAAACUGUUGAACUUGAGUGCAGAAGAGGAGAGUGGAACUCCAUGUGUAGCGGUGGAAUGCGUAGAUAUAUGGAAGAACACCAGUGGCGAAGGCGGCUCUCUGGUCUGCAACUGACGCUGAGGCUCGAAAGCAUGGGUAGCGAACAGGAUUAGAUACCCUGGUAGUCCAUGCCGUAAACGAUGAGUGCUAAGUGUUGGGAGGUUUCC
rnacentral:rRNA from 1 species